AAAAAAAGAGGAAAAAGAAAACCACCACCCACCUACCACGAUUUCCUCCGCCCCUUCCAGAGGCGGGUCGGUGAUCUCGAUCUCCCGGGAAGGGCGGCCCAAAUAUGUACUUUUAAAAAGGUGUCGGGAGACCCGGGGGAAAGACAAAAAAACAAACAAACAAACAAAAACAAAAAGAAAAAAAAAAAAACGGAGGGCUUACCCUUCCCAGCCCGCCUGGCCCAGCUUGCGCGGCGCGGCGGCGAGCAGGAGCGGGGACGCGGGCCGGGCGCCGGGCCCGGCCGGGACGCGCUAGGCCGCAGGCUCGGUUAAUAUUCAUGAGCGAACGGGAGGCGCCCCUCCUCCACGGCCGGCCGGCCGGACCCCGGCGCCCGCCGCCGGCCUUUGUGCCCUUCCCUCCUUCCUCCGGCCCUCCCUCGCUCCGCACACGCGGGCGCGGCCCCUCCGCCCCCGCCGGGCGCCCGCCGCGGACUCCCUCCGGCCCCGCGCCAGCGCCGGGCGGGGUGGCCUGAGGUGGCGGGAAGGGAGGGAGCCCGCGGCGAGCCGGGCUCUCCACACCCGCCCGCGGGCGCUGCGCCCUGUCGGCUACGGCGGAAAGUAAAACAGACACGCACCGGAGAAAGCGGGGCGAGAGGAUCCGCUCGGGGCUGGCCGGCCCCAGGCAGCGCGCCCCGCACGCCCGGAGCGAGCCGGACGGCGCGGGAAGACGAUCCGGCGCUGCCCGCCCGCCGCCGCGCUCCGAGGCCGCCGCCCCCGGCCGGCCGCUCCCAGGCACCGCCGCGACCUGCCCCGGCCGGCCCCGGGCUCUCGGCCGCCGCGGGAGGGCGUGGGGCGGGGCGGCGGCCGCCGGACUCUCCCCUCGCCUCGCCGGGCCGGGCCGGGGCCGCGCUCGGGCGCCCGCGAUCGCCAAGUGACAGAAGUGCCUCGCUCCGCUGCCGCGCCGAGCUGUUUCCCGGGGGCGGAUUUCUCGCUUCUUCCUCCCUGGAUCCACCUCCUCCCACUCCACCUCCUUCCCCUCCCCUCCCCAGGGGAGGCUCUGAGGCUGAAUAUUUUCUGUCUUGAAUAAUACGGUCCCGGGAACCGACGCUGGAGAAGGGGGAUUAGCCGGGGUAGGGGGUACUCACUCCAACCCCCUCCCAAGGCGUCUCCGACCUGCAAGCCCUCACUGCCGCCCCCCCCCCCCCGCUCGCCAACACCCCUCCCAGAAACCAGGCUCACACAAAACCUUCCCUGCCUUCUCCUGUCUCCCGAGGGCAGAGCGGGAGCGGCCAGGAGCCGAGGUUUCUACUGGGGAAGACUCGAUGCUUGGCGUCAGGGGCGUCAGGGGCGUCAGGGACAAUUCUAUGACUGGAUUCGCGAAUACAGCUGAAUGAAGCCGGCGCGGCUAGCGGAACUGAGGAAAAGGUGGCUGCGCCGCUCCACUCUACAGGUCAGAGCCGCUCCGGGGACCGAGCGCCACCGCCGCCCCUCCCCACCCAAUUCCGGGGCCUGCCUCAGACCGCAGGCGGCUGGCUCCGCCCCGCCGCGCCUCACAACAUCUCCCGCUGCAAAUGGCCCAAUCGGGAGACGCGAGGAGAAAACAAGAGCCAAUCAGGCGCUGCUGACUCAGGCUUCCCUCCACCCUUGGCCCCUCCCCCGGUAGGAAAAGCCACCGCCCCUCUGUCUCCCCUUCCCACCCCCUCACCACCCCCCCGGGAGGUGGCUCACCGGCUCCAGUCCCCGUCCGGCUGGAGUGGGGUAGCCCGCUGAGGUGGCGGCGUUUGUCACCUUGUCACCCUCAUCCUCGCCCCCUCCCAGACACACCCCUUCUCCCUUUCCCAGUCCUCCUGCUGGUGCUGUUGAGGGUCAUUUGUAUCCUCACACCGGCAGGGGACCACCAGCUAUUGUGUCUGAUCAGCUGCCACCACCAUCCUGAGGGAAAAGAACAAAACCAAGAAGCUAUGUGAUCUGCUUACCUUUUCCUUCUUUCUUAACCACUCUUUCCCCUGAGAUUUUAAGACGCCUCCCCAUCCCCUGCUCCCUGCCCGCCGCCAGGGGUCCUGUUUCUUGAUUUGGGCGGGAUGGGAGGUGGGGGGGACACCACUCCCUGGAGCCUGAAUACCUGUGCCUUAGUUUUUAAUAUUCCUCAGAGUGGAAGGUGACAAACAUUUAGAAUAUACAACUAAAUCCUCGGCCUCAAUUAGAGGAAAGACUUUGACUGGAUCAUCUUUAUAUGGCCAUGAAAUUUGCAUGUUCGUGACAGCCCCUGACAAAACUAGUCAGCCAAUAACAAAGAAAGGGAAAAAAAAAAAGAAUAAAAUAGAGGGGAUGCCUGCCAGUCAUUUGGUAAUUUACUGAAUAGCCCACUGGGCUAUAGCAGUAUCCAGUUCUAGAUACUGUUGAGUAAAUUAACAAGAAGUGAAUAGAAAUGCAGGGUUCAAGUAGCGUACAUCUAGUGGGCUUAUAGAAUAUGUCCAGAAAGGGAAAACAAUUUCAAGCACAAAACAGCUCUUUACAAAUGCAAAUGUGCAUGCAUGGAGUACUUCACCGCUGAGGACAUCUAGGGUUAAGAUUUUUGCAAUGGAAAUUUUCAUAAAUGUUGAUUUUGAAAAAGAUUUUCAGUUUGGUAAAGGAGAGUAAAUAUUGGCCAUGGAAGGAGACAUGAAAAGGAGGUUAACCCAUUUUAGGAAGUGUGGAAAAAUAACAUGACCUAGAAAGACAUUUCUGUAAGAGGUAAAUGGAAGCAUCCAGAUCACAGUCUCGCUCCAUCAUUUGCCUUGUGACUUAAGGCAGAUUAUUAUUUAUGUGUCCGAGUACUAGAGCUAUCAAGUAAUAAGAGUGCCUGCCGUCUAUAAAGCACUGCCUCUGUGCUGGGUAUUCCUUCAAGAGCUUUGCACACAACGUAAGGAGAUAGCUGUGUGACAGAGCCAGGAUUAAGCCCAGGCGAUGGGCUCCAGAGUCCGUGCUUUUCUCCACAACACUAUACUCCAACACGAUACUCCAACAUGGUUUUUCACAGUCAUAACAACAAUAUUAACUAACACUUAGCUUAUUAUGCGCCAAUUAGUGUGCUUUGUGGGUAACUAAUUUAAUCUCACCUCUGGGUUAGGCAUGAUUACGAUGUUCCGUAUUGGGGAAUGUUUUUAAGAGCCAUUAUGGUAAGUUACUGUUAUAUGUAUCUUAUUUCUGUUAGGAUAGGAAUGAUCAUGAUGUUCUAAAAAUUGGGGAAUGUUUUUGAGAACCAUUGUGAUAAAUUGCUAUCAUAUGUAUCUGUGCGUUAGGCUAUCUGGAUGGACAGGGACAGUAGCACAGAACUAAGAGUUGGGAAACCUGGGUCCUAGUCCUUUCCUGGGACCUCCGAGUAGGACAUCACCUUUCCUAGCUAGCUGGGCUGUUGAGAGUGUCGAAUAACAUAAUACGUGUGAAGGGACUUUCAAAAUGUAAAAACAUUAUUCUGAUUACAUUAUUUGUCUUAUUAUAAAGCAGGUGUUUAUCCUGUCUCCCCGACUGGGAACCCUACUCUUUAUAACAUUUUGUCGUUAUGUAUUAGGAACAUUUUAACCCGGUUAAAAAUUAGGCCCAUUCCUUUCUUGAAGGCAUGACCAAUAAUAGUAUUUUAUUAACUGUUUGAGCUCUCAUUUAGAUGCAUUCUAAGCAGACCACUGUGGACACUCUCUGGGCGUCUAUAAAGUGGCAGCCAUCAGCCAGUCAUUCGCCAUGCCAAAGGUGUAACUGGUGGAGAAUGUAAACCCUUGGAGUUCCCUUCAGCUGCCCAUCUUGGGCAUUUCACUCAUUAACACCUCCACCAGAGGGAGGGCAAGAGAAAGGAAAAGGAGCCAAACUUCCAUCCUGCGGCUACUUGUUAACUGCUCCAGUGAGAGAUUUGGUGAAACAAUGAGUUUGGGGAUCACUCUAACUGAAAGGAGAUUUGGAACUAACUGUGGGUUUCACAGUUGAUAUCUUGAUAGUUUUCUUUACCCUAAAUACAAUGGAUAAGCAAGAGCUAACAGUAAGUCCACCUUUGUUUUACUUUGGAAGGCUAAUAUGUUCCUCUUUUGUGCAAAGCCAAUUAAUAAUCUAGCUUCUUAGAAAUUUCCACACCUAUAUUAAUAACUACCAGACGGUCUUGUACACUAUAAGUCUGACGAUCUAGGCAAGACAUUUUUAAAUAUGGGACUAUAUCCUUAAAAUGUAACUUUUGACUUUGUUAAUGACACAAUAAUAUUGUUUUGGUGAACCACAAUCAAGGAAAAAUGUCGAAGCCAGAAAUAGAGCCAAGUGUCUUAACCUCUGGUCUAAUGUCAUUCUGUUAUAAACUAUGGAUGAUUUCUACUCUGAAUAUAGAAGCUGGCAAUUCUAAGAGGCACAAGUGUUUGCCAUUGAAUUCCACAGAUGAAAUGUGUAAUUUGGGAUGAAGCAUUUGUAAAACUAUGUGUCUGAGGUGGUUAAGACCAAUGGCUCUCAGAAGAGUGAGCAUUUUUUUUUUUUUUUGGUCUUAGGACAAUGCUGUAGACUUCUUUUUCAUACAAUACUAAAAAGAUACAUUACCUGCUAAUAUUUCCUUGAAAAGGCCUUUGAUGUUGAACUGAAUAGCUCCAGAAAGCCCACCUCUCUAGCAAAGCAUUCACUACUGUAAUCAAAAGAAGGGAGUGAUUUUCCACAAUAAAUAAUUUCUAAGAUUCUUCUUCCGUCAUCACCUCUUUUACAUUAGUGAUGUAAUUUACUAAUUUAAUGUUCUUCAUUGGCGAGAUAUAUGACCUUAUUUCUGGCCCCAUGAUUACUAUCAUCAGUUACUAAUUUCGAAUCUAAAGGAUAGACACUAUUUAAUUCAAUGCAUACAGUACCUAGCAAAGUGCCGCAUGCAAUAGGUAUUUUUGAAUAAUUUCUCUGCCCUCAGCUUUGUGGUUUCUUUUUCCUCUAAACUAGUACUCUCCUUGGGUUUUUCUUUUUGGUUUGUUUGUUGCUGUUAAUUAGCUCCCUGAUCCUAAACGAUCUUUUAUUGUUAUUUAACGGUAACUGAAUUUUGUCUCCUUUUCUAUUUGCAUUAUAAACUUCUGUAGGGAAGAUUCCUGGGGCUUUUACUUCUCUUCAGGCCCCCAUAAUGCCUAAUAAUGUGCUUUUGCACAUAGAAAUCACUUCAAAAUUAUUCAAGAAUGGAAUGAUGAUUGUUUCACUGUUAUUCAGAAAUAUUUAUACCUCAAGAAAUUCCUGGCUGACCAACAACUCUCCAGAGGAAGAGUUGGAGGAAGAGUUGGAGGAAGAUAUGUGUAUAUAUGUCUGUGUGCAUAUGCUUAAAAUAGUAUAAAUCACAAGAGGCGUCUACUAAGGGAGCUCUUGGUGUGGCCCUCAACUUCCAGAAAUGCCACAUCUUAUCUCUUUACUUCACUUCUGUUGACUGAGAUGCUUUUUGGCCUCAAGACCAUGCCAGAAAUGAGUAUCACUUGCGUGUUGUCAGUUAUAAAAUAUUAGCCCAUAGCUUAUCCAUAAUCAUAUAUCAAACAUUUUCUUCUAGAUUCAAAUUAUUUUUCUAUACCAGCAUCUCCUCAAUUAAAAUUGAGUUGUUUGGUAGUCAUGUUUAUCAGCAUUAUUAAGAUUGUAUUUCUAGAUUUAAAAAAAUAAGCAUAAAAAUCUACAAGUUUUUAUGUUAUCCUAGGAAUCCUGAUUUCCAUUUAUAAGCAUUCCAAUUUUCCUUAAAAUAUGAGACAAGUUCUUAAAAUAUUUCCACCCACCCAAAUACAUAUGAUCUAGGACAUCGUGUGAAAAUAUCAUGCAAUCUGCGUAGAAACUCAUAUUACUGGAAAAUUGAAAUAUGUUUUUAUUAUCUUGGAAUGGAAUACUAAGUCCUAACCAUUGUAACUAAGAAACUGUGCUAGCAAUUGACUCUGACACUACAGACCUAAUCCAGAGCAACUAAAUCUUUUUCAACAGAAUGCAAAAAAUCAGCUAGCUUCCCCUUUUCAUCUUCAGGGAGCAGAAGUAGGAGAGACAUCUUAAAACAUCUCCAUUACUUGAUUCACUAAAACUCUGGGUGUCUUUUAAUAUUCUCUAGCACUGUAGAUUACAUUCCUCUAUUCCUAUAAUUGCCUGCAUUCCCUACUAAUCCAAAAGUCAACUAACCAAGGGUUCUUCCUUCAGAUAGGAAAGGAUUGCAGGAUAGUAUGUGGCAAUUCACAUCUGGACUUAAAGAGGAAAGAUGCAGGCUUGCAUAACUUUUCUCCUAAAAGAUUUUUUCAAUUAAAUUUUAAUUUUUAAAAAUUGCAACAUAAAAGAAAAAAAAAAAAGACUUUGCAACCAUGAGAGAGGCCACGCUUGUAUCCCACUUUACAAACCCACCCUCUUGCUUUCUUCCAAGCUUCUCAUUGGCUGGAUCCAACAGGAAGACAAAGGUACUAAAAAAAUAAUUCCUCCACUCUGUUUUUUAUAAACAGAAAUCUAGAUAGCAAAUCCUGAUCAAAGAUGGUUGGGAAACAAAUCAAAAGACUUAUGAAAACAUUUUUAAAUGGGGGGGGGGGUCAAGAAGAUGAAAUAAAGGAGCAUAUUAAUCAAAUGAGAAAGAAAGGAUAUAUUAUAGAAGACAACUUACCCCAAUAAACAGAAAAAAAUGGAGAUAAAUGUUUUACACCCUAAAGGAAAUAAAACAUACUAAAAGUGAAAUACAAGAGAGUGAAUGAGAUAUAAAAGGAGUUGGAAGAGCUAAGGAAAGACACUGAGAAGGAAAAAAAUCAUACCAUUGUGGAAGUAAUGAAUUAGAAAUAAGGAAGAAAAAGAAGGGAUAUCUGGCAGAAAAUAGACUGAUGGCAGACUAAAAGCACAAUAAAUACAAAGGAAAAGGACAACAAGGUUAAAAUGAUUCAACAGGUGAUAAGAAAUAUGGAAGACAAGUAAAAAGAAUCAAAUUCAGAGAAAUUGAUUCUCUAACGACGAGUUUACCAUGAAUGAAACGCAAAGUAUUCAAAGACAUAAUGUGGGAGACUGCUGAAUGUCCCCUAAUAUCUGUUCUCACCUUCUUCUGUAAGAAUACCAUUUUAGCUGAGCACAUGAUCAACAAACUAGACUGUAUUUCCCAGCCUUCCUUCUAAGUAAGUGUGGCCAUAUGUCUAAACUCUAAGCAAUGAAAUGUGGGCAGGAAUGAGUGUUUGCUAUCCUGGAUGUCUUCUUUUAGAAGGCUUGAAUCCGUGCCUUCUUAGUCCUUCUUCCCCUUCCUGGUGGUUGUAGGUAACGAUUGCUAGAUGUAGCAAGUAAAAAUAGAGCGCCGAGUUCAACUGGAAUUUCAGAUCAACAAUGAAUACAUUUUUAGUAUAAGUAUAUAUCAAUUACUGCAUGAGACAUAUUUAUACUAAAAAAAGUAUUCAUUGUUGAUCUGAAGUUCCAAUUAAACUGGGUGUCCUAUAUUUUAUCUGGGAACACUCCUGGAGAUAGUGAAAAGUGGAGCAUAUGCCUUUGACCCAGAGAGGGAAGUCACCUGUGGAAGAUGGCAGAGACAUUGCAGCAGGCCUGAAAUGGCCUACUUCUGGAUUGUUGCUUGAAAAAGACCAUAAUUCUGUAUGUCACCUCUUCUUUCCCUAAGGACCAUGGUGUUCUUAAGAUCUUUGGAACUUAGUCUUUGUUCUAAAUGAUGUGAGAAAAUUUUUUUUUUUUUUUGCAAUUCCAACGAUUAAAAGGACUUACUGUGUUUCCAGAAUUGUUAAAAGAGAAUAAUCACUUGGGGAAAGUUAUGAAACUUUGAGUAUAAUAAAAGCAACCUACAAGCAAGUCGAAGUGAAUCAUCUAAAAGCAGGGGUUCGGCAAACUAUGGCACACAGACAGAAUCUAGUCUGCUGCCCGUUUUUGUAAAUAAAGUUUUAUGGGAACACAUUCA